GAGACAGCAGCAGCCACGGUAAUACGUAGGUGGCAAGCGUUGUCCGGAAUUAUUGGGCGUAAAGCGCGCGCAGGCGGAUCAGUCAGUCUGUCUUAAAAGUUCGGGGCUUAACCCCGUGAGGGGAUGGAAACUGCUGAUCUAGAGUAUCGGAGAGGAAAGUGGAAUUCCUAGUGUAGCGGUGAAAUGCGUAGAUAUUAGGAAGAACACCAGUGGCGAAGGCGACUUUCUGGACGAAAACUGACGCUGAGGCGCGAAAGCCAGGGGAGCGAACGGGAUUAGAUACCCCAGUAGUCCCUGUCUCUUAUACA
rnacentral:rRNA from 1 species